ensembl:lncRNA
GGAGGGUGGUGACAGGGCCACAGAGCUCCACAGAUGAUCCCCUCCUGACAAUUCAUGGGUGAUUUCCUGAGACAGAAUUGCAGACAUGGCACUGCCAGUUUCAGUAGUGGAAGACGUAACUUUGAUCAUGGAUUCUAUUAUGGGAGGAAUUCAGACAAGGUACAGUGGGGGUGACUCAUCUCUGAGGGGCUGCCUCAAACAGGUAGAGAAUGGAACAGCAGGGCCUGGCUCUUCACUUUUCACCCGAUGGCUUUUCCCUCACAUGCCCGGCACCUGGACUGAGUCAACUCAAGCCAGCGCUUAGUUGGGAGGGUUGACCAGAAACCAAAACGUGCUUUCACCCUAGGAUUUGCACUUCCCAUGGAAUGGACGCUGGCUACCUACAGACUGCAACCCAAGGGGGAGCACCCGAUAAACAUGUGAGCUGCAGAAACCAGGUGGAAGCUGUAGAGACUAAAAUGGCUACACAGCAUCACUACUGCCAGGAAGACACAGCCAUCCCUGAUUCAAGGGGAGGGCACUUAGAACCCCAUAUUUGAUGUGCUGGAUGGCCAAGAAUCAGUGAGCACUUUUUAAAGUUGCCACUUGCAGCUGCACUCACUAGAUUGUCCCUCCACGGCUUAAUAUCACAAUGAAUGAAAGCAUGUGUCAGCGUUCCUGGAAAAAAAAAAAAAAGGUUUCCAAAAUGCACAGCACUUCUCCAAUAUCUUCAGGAGCUCGGCAGAGAACUGUGCAGGCACAAAGGAAUGCCAGAUCACAGAUAUUAUUGAUUACUCUAGGAGGGUCAACCUAAGAUUAGCUGUCAUCCAGUCCCUUGGAAUGCUGAGUAGCUCAGCGAUUACCCGUAAGAAGACAGACAACAGACAGUCAACUGUGGUAUGUUUUGUUGUUAAGAAGGAGGAAAACGAGAAUAUUGAUUGGUUCAUUCAGCUCAAGUGGCUAUUGUUCACCUUGAAGAUACACAUUUCACAAAGACAUUUUCUCACCCUCACCUGCUAAGGAGGUCACUAUGGACAAAGAAAAUAAACAACCAUGUUCAACCAACUGCUCUCGUCUUUGAAACAACUGUCUUGUCCAUUUGGUGUGUCUCACUAAAGCAAUCUUCAAAAUAGUCAACAUGUGGAAGCAACCCGAGUGUCCACCAAUGGAUGAAUGAGAAACAGGAUGUGAGAUACAUCCCAUGGAAUAGUAUUCAGCCUUACAAUGGAGAAUAUUCUGACCCAGGCUACAACAAGGAUGGACCUGGUAAAUGUGAUGCUCAGUGAAAUAAGCCAGUCACAAAAAGACAGAUACUGUAUGAUUCCAUUUACAUGAAGUCCCUGGAGGAGUCAAGUUCAUAGAGACAGAAAAGACAACGGUGGUUGCCAGGGGCUGGGAGAGGGGAAAGGGGAGUUAGUGCCGACAGAGUUUCAGUAUUGCAAGAUGAAAAGAGUUCUCGAGAUUGGUUGCACAGCAGUGUGAAUGUACUUAUCACCAUUGAACUUAAAAAAUGGUUACGACUGGCUGGACCCAUGGCCAAGUGAUUAAGUUCACCUGCUUCGAUUUGGGUGCCCGGGGUUUCACCAUUUCGCAUCCUCGGCUUGGACUGGCACGGCUCAUCAGGCCAUGCUGAAGCUGCAUCCCUCAUAGCAGAACCAGAAGGAUCUACAACUAGCAUAUAUAACUAUGACCUGGGGGGCUUUGGGAAGAAGAAGAAUAAUAGAAAAAAGAUUGGCAACAGAUGUUAGUAAAGAUGCCAAUCUUUAAAAAAAAUGGUUAAGAUGGUAAACAAGUUCCAUGUAUUUUAACAAAAUUAACAAUUUUUUUAAAAAGGCAUCAGAGUUACUAGUCCCUCUUUCUGAAAUCAUUUAUGCUUAUACUCCUUCCUCCGUUUGAGAUCUCUACUUAAAUGCCCUCCACCACCCUCUGCCUGGACCAUGUGCUAUGUUUCCUUAUAACUGUCAUCAACACCUGCAAUCUUCUAGGUUGUGAGUUCAUUGGCUUAUUUCCUGUCUCCCUACUUGGGAACAGAAGCUCUGUGGACCAGUACCUGAGUGGGUCACUGCUUUCUCUGCUACAGGCCAGAAUAAUGGCCUUCCUCGGGCCUGGACUCAAUAGGGAGCUACUGAAGGCACAGCAACCUUUGGGUUAGCACUUGGGAAACUCCAGGCUUUCUGGACAGCACACAUGAGGGUAAAUGACUGCAGUGCUUGCUGCUAUAAUUUCCAAUAAUUAAUUUAUAGAAAUCUGAAGACACCCCUUCGUCCCAAAGAGAAGGGACUAGUCUCCUAACACUGUUACCAGAUGGCCACAGUUUGGACAGGGUUAUCAAGUGGGGUCCUUGAGUGCACAUGUAUCCUGCUAGGAAGGAUUUAAAAAGGAGCUCUCAUACAUUUCCACUCUGAUAUCUUUCUGCUCAUAGUAGCUCUUUCUUCAAUUGUGGGACUAGCUAAUAUUGAACCAUACCUCAGGGGCAGGGGGGAAGCAACCCAGAAUUCAUUGAAAUAAGUGUUGUGAUAAAGAACAGUGCUCAGUGGCAUAUCACCACAGCAAUGCAAUGCUCAUCAUUUGCCAAAAUAAAUGCACUCAUGGAGACCCAAAUAAAGAACCGACACACACUGACUAAAUUAAAACAAAUGCAUGAAUAGUGGGAGAGACACUGGCGUCUUUCCUUCAGGCAGGAUGCUGCCCCCUCUGACACUUGCAGAAACUCUGGGAUAUCACCUCUAGUCCUGCCCUUUCACCCACUUUUAUGAGGAAAACCUGCCAUUCUUGUUUCUUGCAGUUAGAACAGCUAUCGGAUAGGGGGUCACAGAGCUUUGCCAUUUCUCUUUCCCUCUCUACGUGGAUGGAUUUGCGGGCUUUUGUGUGGCUUAAUGGGCUUACAGGAGGCACAGGGAGGAGAGAAUUUCUGGAGAGAAAACUACAGGAGGAAAGGCCAAGAGCCGUGCUGCCGCCGUUCACAUUUGGGGGUCUGAGUCUCAGUCCCUUCUGUGCCUCAGUCCAUAGAACCUCAUAUUGUCCCCUAAGAAUAUUAAGGUGGAGACUAAAAAAUACGGACAGUAAGAAUAAUAAUACCUAUUAUUACAGUGUGCAGCAACGAGCGCGUGUGACUUUGGCUAUGCAAGGCAAUGCCUAAAAUCCCCUUGGAAUGACACAGUGGGAUGUGGAAUCCAAGUGAUUACACUUCAGGAGAUUUUCCUAGGGUGCAUUCUCAAUGGGGGUGAUUUUGCCCUAAAAGGGCAAAAAAGUGGUUCUUCGUGGGUGAAAAAACUCACAUUCUUGUAUCUUCCAAGCCCAGAUAUCCAUAGUGCACAUAACCAUGUAUACAGUUAUUUGUUGUGUUAAGAUUUCAUGGAGUGGGUGCUGGUUAAAAAAACGAUUUGAAAAGGCUGCUUGGGUGGGGGUGGGGGUAUGAUGGUUAGUUUUCUGUGACAACUGGACAGGGCAGUGGAGUAACCAAGCUUCUGACAGUUGUUGCAUUGUACUAGCCUUAAAGAUGAACACCAAGUUCAUUUAACUUUGAAGAAACUGACCAUUGUAAUAUUGUCCAAAAAGACCCUUAUUUUAUAGAGUGAUUCAUUGGGUUUCUUAAAAGAUAAUAACCUGAUAAAGAUCUGUUUUCACUAGGUUCAGUAAGCACUCUUCUAUGAGCUUUCCAUAGAUAUGAAAUUACCUAAUAUUCAUAAUAAAGUCAGAGGUAUGGACAUACCCAGGACAAUCCCAGCCCUCAUCUCUAAAGGGAACUUCUAAAUGGUGUGCCCUCCAGCAAGGCCUCUCACCCACUUCUGAGCCUGGGACACAAUGAAGAUCAGAGGUUUUCUCGACAGUAUCUUGGCAUUUACAUUUGUGGUCGACAUCUCUCAAAGCCUAAGACAGAGAUCUUUGAGUCCUUCCACAAGGAACAGGGAGGAGAUGUGCUGGGGAAGAAGGUGACUUGCUUGACAAUCAUCUGGGAAAAAGUGAAGGACACGGUUUUUUCUAAGAAUGGAUGAAUAUCCAUGAGGUGCAUGUCACACGAGACAUGCAGGCUUGAUUCAAACAACCCUGCAGCCAGGUCCUGAACAUCUUUUCUAGAAGUGUGGGAAAAAUGAGUAAUGUGCCCAAGGUCUGAAAGAUCUUCAGGAUACAUCGCUGCCAACCAGGAUGCUUAUUUUCAGCGUUACAGAAUGAUCUCUUAUGAUGACUGACAAGUGGAUUCACCACAUCCACAAAUAAUAGUAUAUAAAGAGGUAAAAAUUCAGAAUUUCACCCAUAGGUAACCCCUUCUGAGCUCCUUCAGAAGAGGAAACAACUGCCAAAGAGAUGAAGAUUCUACAGUUCACCUUUGGACUUGCUCUGGUUGGCACUGACCAGAUACCUCCAUCAAAUGAAGACCUCGCAAAGGAAUCUGAGAAGAAGGUCACCUGUGUGUCUGUGUGUGCGUCUGUGUUUGUGUGUGUCCCUUUUGGGGUUGUUUUAUGUGUAUACAAAUUUAUGUGCACCUAAGCCUAGCCAUCUUCCUCCAACUCAGAAGCACUCUAUUAAUUGGCUGCUUACACAAUCCUGCUGUACUUGUCUUAUAUUGUCUCUGUAUUGUCUAUAUUAUCUAUUAAUUGGAUCCUUAUGCAUUUCAACCGUACUUGCAUAAGAUGGAGAACAAGCCAGAGAAUUGCUGGACUGGAGUUCUGCUUUGAUAACAGAACUGAAACUAUUUCAGAAAUAUCUCUAUUUCUCGUUUUACAGUUGACUUGGGUUUUUACAUUAUUUUAUAAAUCCUGCUUUGUCCAAUAAUGAUAGACAGUGCUGGUGGAAAAAGAAAGGAAAACUCAUAAUGGAUGAUGUCAGAGAAAAUAAAAAAGAAUGACUGAAAUUUCUUUUUAGUUUUCUUUUUAGUUUUCAGGAGAAUGGAAAAGGUCUUACAUAGCAUUCAGUAAUAGAGUGAAGAUCAAUGAGAAUGGACCAUUAGAGAAGUUUGUCCAUAGUGUUGAUUUUUGACACUGUAGACAGCAUUAUCAACUUGAAAUUUCUGACCAGGUAAGUAAAAAUAACACAGAAUAAAAUCACUCAUAAAUGUUCAACCCUGAGAGAAGGUCUUUGUUACUUGCAUGUUUGCACUGAAAGAUCUUGAUUAUGUUCAAGAACGUGACUCUCUGAGUUGUGUGCUUGGAAGAGUCUUUGAAGUGGUGGCGUAAGUUCCACCACCAUCCUCUAGAGAAUGUCCUGGAGAAUCUCAUGGAGAGCAAAGUGGCACGGUUGCUCUAAUGGAACCAUCUCAUUCAAAAAAGAGGGACAAAAGCAGCCAAAAGGGUAUAUUUUCCUCAAACCCUACAGAUCCUGACCACUAGCCUGAAUCUUUCAUGCGGAAUUUGUAAAACGUGGUUCACUUCUAGGGCAACUGUGUUCCAGAAGAGUGUGAGCAGGUGGAUAACGCAAAAUGAUCUCUUCCCUGAAGAACUUACUUAUAGCAAUUUUUAAUCAUUAAUAAAUUCAUUAAAGCCUUCAUUGCUUCAAGGAUUAUUUAUGGAAUGCACACCAUAUUGCAGGCAUUUUAUUAAGAAUUCAAAUGACUUAUUUCACUUAGCAUCAUACCCUCUAGAUGCAUGCAUGUUGUCACCAAUGACAGGGUUUCGUUCCUUUCCAUGGAUGACUUAUUAGUUGUUCCAUGUAUAUAUAUACCACAUAUUCUUUAUCCAUUCAUCUAUUGAUGAACACACAGGUUCUUUUCAUAUCUUAGCUAUUGGAAAAAAUGCUGCAGUGAACAUAGCAGUGCAUAUAUCUUUUGAAUUUAUGUUUUUGUUUUCUUCAGAUAAAUACCCAGAAGUGUAAUUUCUGGAAGGUAUGGCAAUUCUUUCUUUAAGUUUUGGAGAAACCUCCAUGCUGUUUUCCAUGGCGGCUGUAUCGAUUUACAUUCCCACUAAGAGUGCACGAGGGUUCUCUUUUGUCCACAUCCUCACUAACACUAGUUAUUUGUUUUCUUUUUGAUAACAGCCAUUCUGACAGGUGUGAGAAUGUGGAUUUGAUUUGCAUUUCCCUGAUGAUGAGUGACAUUGAGCAUCUUUUCAAGUGUUUGUUGGCCAUCUGUAUGCCUUCUUUGGAAAAGUGUCUAUUUAGGCCCUCGGCCCAUUUUAUAAUCAAAUUUUUGAUUUGGGGUAUUAUGUUGUAUAAGUUCUUUAUAUAUUUUGGAUAGUAACCCCUUAUCAGAUAUGACAUUUGCAGGAAUCUCCUCCCAUGCAGUUGGUUGAUUUUUUGUCUUAUUGCUGAUUUCCUUCACUGUGCAAAACUUUUUUUUUGAUAUAGCUUCAUUUGUUUAUUUUUCUUUUGUCACCCUUGCUUGAAGAGAUAUAUCCAAAGAAAUAUUGCUCAGACUGAUGUCAAAGAGCUUUACUACCUAUGUUUUAUUCUAGGCAUUUUAUGGUUUCAGGUCUUACAUUAAAUCUUGAAUCCAUUUUGAGUUUGUUUUUGUAUAUAGUGUAGGAAAGUGGUCCACAACCAUUAGUCUCUCCAACAAGGGCAAAUAUUCCAAUGUGCUUACUUAGGGUUUUUUUUAAACAUAUUCUUAAAAUUAGGAAUCUUUCAUAUAAAUACAUGUAUUUUGAAAUUUAUAUAAAGUUAUAAAUUAAAAAAAAGAAGUGAAAUGAGGAAGAGAAGAUGAAGAAACUUUUUUGGGGGGAGGCUUUCAUUGGUCAAAAUAGAGUCAGGGAUAAUGAUUUUAAACUAAUAACAAUACUGACUGUGAAAAUCGAUAAUAAUAGCAUAAAUGAUGUGGAAAGAGGGGACCAAAAAAUGAAAAAUGAUGACAGUGUGGGAGACUAAACAGUUAUACCAGAAAUAUGACAUGUGUAAGAUGCUUUUGAAGGUGGAAUGAGCCAUUUUUAUUUUAUUUUUUUAAAUAUAUUUUCAGUUCAGAGUGUUGCACUGCCUUUCACUUUUCCAUAAAUGCUAAGCAUGUUCCCAGGAAUCUAUCAGAGUUUUUUUUCUUUAAGGGAAGUCUUUUUUUUUAUUUAAGAUUGGCACCUGAGCUAAGAUCUGCUGCCAAUCUUAUUUUUUUUUCUCCUCCCCAAAGUCCCCCCCAGUACAUAGUUGUAUAUUCUAGUUGUAG